UCGGGAUAACACCUGGAAACAGAUGCUAAUACCGGAUAACAACAGAUGAUGCCUAUCAACUGUUUAAAAGAUGGUUCUGCUAUCACUCUUGGAUGGACCUGCGGUGCAUUAGCUAGUUGGUAGGGUAACGGCCUACCAAGGCGAUGAUGCAUAGCCGAGUUGAGAGACUGAUCGGCCACAUUGGGACUGAGACACGGCCCAAACUCCUACGGGAGGCAGCAGCG
rnacentral:rRNA from 1 species